GAUGAAGAACGCAGCGAAAUGCGAUAAGUAAUGUGAAUUGCAGAAUUCAGUGAAUCAUCGAAUCUUGAACGCACAUUGCGCCCGUCAGUAUUCUGGCGGGCAUGCCUGUUCGAGCGUCAUUACGCCCCUCAAGUCCCCUGUGGACUUGGUGUUGGGGAUCGGCGAGGCUGGUUUUCCAGCACAGCCGUCCCUUAAAUUAAUUGGCGGUCUCGCCGUGGCCCUCCUCUGCGCAGUAGUAAAACACUCGCAACAGGAGCCCGGCGCGGUCCACUGCCGUAAAACCCCCCAACUUUUUAUAGUUGACCUCGAAUCAGGUAGGACUACCCGCUGAACUUAAGCAUAUCAAUAAGCGGAGGA
rnacentral:misc_RNA from 1 species